rnacentral:lncRNA from 1 species
GGUUUGCAAGGAAUCUAAGUGGUUUUAUGAUCACAGAGCUGUGUUAUAUUCUUAUUAUACUAAAUAAGAGUGUAAAAGGAACUGGUCAUUUUACAUGUGUGCUUUGUUUUUUGUUUUGUUGGUGUAAUGAACUUCUUUUGAAAGGGGUUUAUUUUGUGGAUGUUUUUUCUUUUCUAGGAACAAUUGGCUUCUUUGCAUGCUUUUGGUUUGUCACCAAAAUAUACAGUGUGGUGAAGGUCGACUGAAGAAACCCAGUGUGUCCAGUUAAAACAAAUAAACUAAAUCUUCAUCCACAAAGACCUGUUUUGUGACUCCCUUGAGUUUUCUCAGACUUAUGGCCUAGUAAUCCUUCAGAAACAGCAGACUUCCAAGUACACCUCUCCCCAUGCGCCUGUCCCUACCUACAAGAUGUAUUUCAACACUAAAGCAUUUGUAUUGUGAUUGGAUUAAGUAUAUAUUCAGUUGUUCUCAGUGAAGAGCAAAUUUAAAUAUUAUGUGCAUUUGUAAAUACGGUAGCUAUAAACUUUUCAAUACUUCUAAUGGCAGAUUAGAGGAGGCCAUAAUACUGACGAUACUGGACAGUCGAUUGUACAUAGGGUUUUCUAGACUCGGUAGGUGGAAAGAAUUAUUUUUCUUUGAAGGAAAUAACUUUUUAUCAUGGUAAUUUUGAAGGAUGAUUCCUAUGAUGUGUUCAUUGGGGGGAUGUGGCUUUUAAAAAUCUUGUAUUGGUUGUAAUUGUUCAUAUCUUCUUACUUUUCUGUGUUGACUUCAUUAUUCCCAUGGUAUUGGCCUUUUAAACUAUGUGCCUCUGAGUCUUUGGAUUUAUAAAUUUGUUAUCUUAAUAAAUAUUGUAAAAAUGCCUUCAUUGUAUCAUUCCCAGCAUAUGAAGAAAACUCUGUGAAUACAGAUGUGCUGACCACUAUACUGUUCUAUCACAUGAUGUUGACUACUGUAGACACACACUUUCUGUCUCCACCUAAGUGAAAUUUUAGUCUUUUGGGCUUUGUCAAGUCUGAGUUUUCACUCUGAAAGAAUGCUAGAAACGGUAGUCAUGCCUGUG